GGCUAUGCUGGCUGGACGCAGGCAGCAAGACCAGAGCGUUGCCGUCAAUUUUCAUCAGCGGCCUCUCCGGCUCUGCCGAUGACGUGGGCCACACCCGACUUCCUCCUCGAAGGUAACUGCUCUGCGUGUGCGUAAGUGUUAUUUACGUAAACAACAACAACUGGUGUGACCACAGGAGACGACGUUGGCAGAAAACACACACCCCAUGUCGCACUGAGGCAUGCUGCUGGUCAUGUGUCUCACGUGUGACAAAAACAUACACAAACGCUUCAUGGCCACUACAGUACAGAUCACAUACAGAGAUAAUAACUCUUCCAGUAGCAGAUAACUAGGUAAACCUCCUUCUUGGAAUCAGGCCUCCUCUCAUCUUUGAUUCACUGGAGUUGGAAUAAAAUCCUUCUGUCCCACGUCAGACAUUAUUUCCAAUCUCUGAAUAAAAACUUAAUCUAAUCAACGGGCCGUUCUUUUUCCCCUUUCUCAGCCUUGGUCUGGUAAAACACGCACACACUGUGAUUUUUUCCUAGAAAUCUUUAAAUUUCCUCGCAGCUCAGCUGUGGACUGUGUUGACUUUGUCCGUCAAAGGAGCUUUUUAUUUUCUGCGACUUUCUGUACUUGCUUGAACCGCCCGUUUUCCUCUACGCUGCCCGCUGGAGUCAGAGGUCGUCUUUGUUGCCUCCACAUUGACGUGUGACUACCUGGGAAGAGGUUUGUGAACUAGUUUCAGUAUCUGGUAUUAUUCAGGACUUUUCAAAUAAAAGCUCCCUAUUUAGCUGUUGUAGGAUUUGUAGCAGCCACACCCGCUAAGGUUUCAAGCUCUGAUAUAUUAAAGGCUCAGUGUUUAGGAUUCGAUAUUAAUUAAAUCAGUAUAGUUUGUCCUGAUUGGUUUGACACAUUUCGCUGUAAGACAAAUUCAGAUAUUUUAUAUUUGUACAAGCUUUGCUGUUUAACCACCGGGGUUGAAUGAUUUCUCAGGGGGUGAAAAGUUUACAUCACUAAAUCCAUUUGACAGUUCCAAAGAUAUCCUCUGAACCGUAAAUAUCGAGGGCAGGGGAUCAAAGUCAGGAGGAUAUAUCAUCCUCUGGGGACCAUAAAUGUCCAGUUUCUGUGUUGAUGGCAGUUAUUUUCAUCCCUUGAGCAAUUCUGCCCACACGGCCAAAGAUAAGAUAUCCAGAAAUAUCAAUAAAUGUUGCAAAUGGCAUUUAGAUCAACUUUUAUAAUGUUCUAAAAGAGGAUUCAAGUUGUGUUAUGUUGUGUGUUCUGUAGGCACAGGGACUCGCUCAAUGGUUCCCUCCCUGGGCACAUGGAGUAUACGAUAUACCUUCAAUGCAACAGGUCACAACAUGCUCUCACGUGUUCCAGAGCAGCAGCUGCCCCCAUGCCGCGGUUUACACUGGUUUGACACUGGUUUGACACUGUUCUUGCUGGCCGUUAGCAGAUAUAUGGUGAGGGUGGGCGCCUGCGUUGAGAUGGACCAUUAUGUCACUGGUGCCCCAAGAAUAGUUCCAGUGUGUCCAGCGAGGCCCCGAGGCGACUGUGACGUCCAGAACCUAACUGUUGUUGGGCCAAACCCAGAGAGAAACAGGGGCCCUACUGUUUCCCUGCGUCAGGCACACCCAGCCACACACUCACACACCCCCACACACCCACCCCCACACACACACACACGUGUACAGACGACGCGCACACACAUGGAACCGUUUAAAGUUUUUCCUCUGCCACUGUUCCAAAUGCCCCCAGAAUAAACACUGGGAGCACAUCUGAGCCACUGAGCCCAACGAUCCCCAUUAAAGACAGACGGUGACGCAAUGUGAUGGAAAUGAGAGGUACUGGGUUUCAGAUGUUUUCCCAGUAUGGCGUCGCACAUGUGCUAGAAUUUAGUCAAGUGAGACUUUCAGUUGGAGCAGCAUGUCGUCACAGGCUUGGGAAAGGAGGUCAAGUCUUAUAUUGUCAUGAGAAUCCAACGUUUUGGACAUUUUCACCGACCAUGUGUAUCAAUAUUUAAUAUUAAUGUACAAACUAAAGAGCAAAUGUGUCAAUAAGUGGUUUCAACUUAUCAAAUCUGAGGAUUAGAGGAUUUUCUCAGUUUUCUAUCACUGUAAACUGUUUUAUUAAGAUUAAAACAAGACAUUUGAAAAUAAAAUCUUGGAGAAGUUAAGCUGACUGUAGGUAUGAACGUGAGUAUGAACGGCUGUUUGUCUCUAUAUGUCGGCUCUGGACAACACUGGCAUCCUGUCCUGGAUGGACCCCGCCUCUCUCCCAAUGCCAGCUGGGAUUGGCUCCAGUUCCCCAGUGACCCCUGAAGCUGGAUGGAUGGAUGGAUUCUGGACAAACUGGUGAAGUCUGUACUCAUAUAGCACUUUUUGGAAAGGAAGGAAGGAUGGAAAGAAAGAAAGAAACACAGACAAAUGGAAAUAAAGGAAAGGAGAGGAUGGAAAAAGAAAGGAGGGAAGGAAGGAAACAACCAAAACAACCCAAUAAAAUAUGGGUUAAAAGAAUAUGGGUUUAAAAUUUCCAUUUUUUUCCAAAGACAUUAAAUGCAUCAGGCUGUAUUUGGGUGUAUUUGCAUAGAACGAGACAUAUUUAAGUGAAACACAAAGAUCAUGGAGUUUUGAGUUUUAAUUAUUUCCCUUUAUAUAAAUGUUGUUAUAAGUAAAACGAAUAGAUGUGACUCCUCAGUUUGUGAUCGUUACCUCCUCCUCCUCUCCUCCUCCUCUCUUCCUCCUCUCCUCCCGCCUCCACGCCAUCCAGCCCCUUGGACGCAAGUGCUCGUCCACGCGUGUGACGUGCUCGCGCCUGCGCUUCGUUUUAAGCGGUUCUCCCACAAGCUCCGGGAUUCAGUCAGUAACACACGCGCACCGAGCAGAGGCACGAGGAUACCAGUCUGUCCCCGCGGCUUCCGUAGAGCAUCAACCCUGCGUGUAUAUGUGUGUUUGCUGUAAAUGACACUGGAGUGUUUUCAAGCUGGAGGACAGUGUGUGUUUGUGUGUGUGCGUGUUUGAACGCACAGGACUACAACCCUGCACCUGAGUUUUGGAAACUUCACCUGAGGCGCACGAGCAUCGUCGUUUGCAUGAACGCGUGCAGGUAAGAUUUUAAAACACCUCGAACUCACGUGUUGUGUUAAAAUGUUGCUUUCACUCUUUAUCUUGUGAGAAAUGUUAAUGGAGUCUGGAGAUGUUUGGAUCUUUUCCUCUAAAAUGUGGACUUUUAUCGGACUCACGCUGAACCUCGAUCAGAAAUCUGUCAAUUAAAGGUUUUCUCGUCCUUUCCUGCAAUUACACAUCACACAAUAUGUGCUUUUGUUGUUUAUAGUGGUCGUUAAGAUCGGGUGGAUAAUUCGGCUUAUAAGAGGAAGGGGCAAUUUACUCUGAAAUACGUGUUUAAGUAUUGUUUGCCACUUGUCUAGUAUUGAUUGCUAGUUGUUGGUCGAUCUUUCAUCUUGAUCUUUGAUCCUUGAUUUCGUUUAAUUGUUGUUGUCUCUUUGUAGCACUGAGAGGAGUUGCACCUAAGUUGUGUUGUGCAGCUGUUCACUGACAAUAAACGCCUGAAUUGAAUUAGUUAUAUAUUGAGAAUAAAGUGGAUGACUGGAAAAUUCAUAUAAGCAGAAUAGGGCUGGGAAAUAAGACAUUAUCUAUAAUUAUCGCAAUAUAUUUUUCCUGAAUAACGAAAUAUGAAAAGUCUGAUUUAUAUAUUGCUUUAACUUGACACAUUGAUCUACCUAAACCUGUGUGAAGUGUUUUGCUGUCAAGGGUUUUACAAAAAGAAGAGUUUAAAACCACAACCUUCAAAAAUCCAUUGUUUAAACCUAAAAAAUUAAUAAUUAUCGAUAUCGACUGAUAUAUUGGUUUUUAUCCUGGAAUGAUUUUUUGGCCUCAUCAUCCAGCCCUAUGCAGAAAUGUCCAAAAUCACAUCAGGAUGCACAUUUAGAUCUGACAGCAGAAAACAUGGAUUUAAUCAAGUGUUUGGUGUGGAACCAGUAUUGUACAGUAGUCUCGGUUCAAUGAGAACAUCAGCCUGUGUGUAAUUGUGCGUCCCGGUGCAGGUUGUGGUGUCACAGCCCGUUUGUGACUCACACGUGUGCAGGUUCACGUUCCCUGGUUUCACGAGGCACUGGAUCAACCUGCUUCUCUUUUCGUGGUGUGACACACACUCUGAGGCAUGCCAUUGUUUUGCAGGGAGACAUAUUUUAGUUUUUCUUUUUGGUGGAGGGUGGGGGGGGGUACAAAGCUGCUUCCUGCACAGGGGGUCCACUAACAAUGGCCACCAGCUUGGAACAGUCGGCGGUUCUCUGUCCCCGCGUCUGAGGAGGAGGCUCGGAUGUUGAAAGAAUGUCCGAGAAAGGAGAAAGGGGGGAAAAAAUAAAGUUUUAGCACAAUGGAGAACAUGCAGUUC